GGCCUGGGUUGAUAAGGCCUUAUGAGGUAGAACUGGUUUUGACCUAGUAAGAGUUCAAUUGUUUUCUCUAUUCACAUAAUGAGGAGGGAGGGGACUAGAAAACAGUACUGCAGUAUCAGACCUGGGAUUUCGGGUGGUCCAUGGAAGCAAACUGGUGAACAGAGGCCAGGAGGCCUUUGUUUGGGGACAUGAGCAGAGACUUGAGGAGGGACAUCUGUGGGAGUAACUGGUGAGACAGAGGCCUUUCUCUAAGAGACACCAGCUUUCCUGGGAAGAAGGGGAGCUAAGAGAAAAACCUCUCAGUCUCCAGUGGAAGACCAGGGGUGAAUGAAGAUUUAGGCGAAGAUGGGAAAGCAUAGAAGAUAAAAACUCAAAUCUCUGGUGCACGUUCAGACCCAGAGAUGGGCCUCUCACUGCUAAACAUUUGUCAAGGAGAUCCCUCAUUAAUGUUGAUGCGUUUAAAUGUGUUUGCACUGUAUUUCUUAUUUGUUUUGAGAGUCCAACUAAUUGUCAGCAUUGAAAUAAAUAAAUAUGUGUGAUACAUGUAUGUAAAAACGA